AACCCAGCCACAAGAGCUUGGUUCCCUCCCCACCCCUCAAAAAGAAAAAAAUAAGGAUGUAGCUGAGAGAAAUAUCAGCAGAAUGAUCUCCAAAUAGACUGCAUGGCAUCAGUGCCUUUUUCAGAAUAUGAGAAUCUUGCUACUUCUUGUGGAGCUCAUACAGAGACCUCAGAGUUCUUCCAUAAAAAUGAAACGAGCCUCCCUGUAGCACUCAGGAAAAUAAAAUGGCCAAGAUUCACCACAAGGUCACCUAAACCCAGGGCUUUACUACUGCCAGAUAAUUCGGCACUGUAUCAAAAAAUAUGACAAAUAAACACUGUCUGUCAGAUUAAUAAAGUCUUUAAUGGCCAACUCUC